rnacentral:rRNA from 1 species
GGGUCAUUAGGUUGGUCGUGCCACCGGUACGUACUGGUCUCACUGAUUCCUCCUUCCUGAAGAACCGUAAUGCCAUUAAUUUGGUGUUGCGGGGAAACAGGACUGUUACUUUGAAAAAAUUAUAGCGUUUAAAGCAAGCUAACGCUUGAAUACAUUAGCAUGGAAUAAUGAAAUAGGACGAUUGAUCCUAUUUUGUUGGUUUCUAGGAUUGACGUA